rnacentral:rRNA from 1 species
CCUUAAGCUUUUAAUGAGACAGACGAAGGCUCUGGAAAGUGCCGCAGUAAAGGGUGAUAGCCCCGUAGUCGACAUCUCAUAAUCAGUGAAAACGAGUAGGGCGGGACACGUGAUAUCCUGUCUGAAUAUGGGGGGACCAUCCUCCAAGGCUAAAUACUACUGACUGACCGAUAGUGAACCAGUACCGUGAGGGAAAGGCGAAAAGAACCCCUGUGAGGGGAGUGAAAUAGAACCUGAAACCGUGUACGUACAAGCAGUAGGAGCACCUUCGUGGUGUGACUGCGUACCUUUUGUAUAAUGGGUCAGCGACUUAAUUUUAGUAGCAAGGUUAACCGUUUAGGGGAGCCGUAGGGAAACCGAGUCUUAACUGGGCGUACAGUUGCUAGGAUUAGACCCGAAACCAGGUGAUCUAGCCAUGGGCAGGUUGAAGGUUGAGUAACAUCAACUGGAGGACCGAACCGACUAAUGUUGAAAAAUUAGCGGAUGACUUGUGGCUAGGGGUGAAAGGCCAAUCAAACCUGGAGAUAGCUGGUUCUCCCCGAAAGCUAUUUAGGUAGCGCCUCGGACGAAUACUACUGGGGGUAGAGCACUGUUAAGGCUAGGGGGUCAUCCCGACU